ensembl:lncRNA
CCUGUCCGCGGGGCGCGCCCGUCCCGUCCCAUCCCGUCCCGGGGCUGUUCGCCUCGCGCCUGCCCGGCUGUCCCCCCGGGGGUCCCGGCUCAGAUCUAGACGCAGUUCCAGGCAAAGCCUGCCGGUCCUGCGGCUCUGCUGACACAGGGCUCCCAGUCCGCAGCGUGCACAUCACUUCUUCACCACCUUCCUCAGAACUGUCUGUGAGAGCUGUCCGAAGCGCUGAACACUGCCCUCUGCUAUGUACAUGUGCUCCUGCAGUCGUAGAAUCAUAGAAUCAUUAAGGUGCUUCCUCCCGGAGCCGGGGAUGCUUGGCUGGAGGAUGCCGUGCAGUGUCUAUGCUGAGAACCCCAUUUCUGUAUGGUGUCAGUGCUGGGCUUCCACCUGCAGCCCCCCAAUGACCUGUGGGGCCACAGUUCCCAUCUGCAGUGAAUGCAUCCCCGUGUGCAUCCCCACACCUCCCAGCUGAUGUCUGCAGGACUGAUAUACAAUCAACCCCUGGGCCGCCUUAUGGGAGGCGAGCGGCUCGGUUCAUUUUGAUGUAAAUUACUAUGAGAACUCUGAGCAAAGGGCAAAAUUAAAGUCUCAUUUUAAUUUUUCCAUAUCUGGUUCAAAGCAACGCCUUUUAGAGCAACCUAUAAAUGGGCACCCGGGUGGGAGCCCCCAGAGGGACGUCCUCUGUUGGUGUCAGUGACGUGUGAGGUGAAUCCAGUUCUGUACCAUCUGGAUGGAAACAUGUGCCCUGAUCCCAUAAAGGCACCUUCAUACCCAGCCUGACUAAUGGCUCUGUUGGCAUUCUGUGGCAUUCAGACCAGGGAAAAUUACUGAGCAGAUAUUUACUAUAUUGUCAAAUUUAUUUUGAACUCUUCAUGUGGGCCUCUCACCACCUCUCUGCUCAGUUAUGCAAUCUUGAAAACCACAAAUUAAAGCCUCUAAACAGACGCAAUAACAAAUUGUGGUAGCUCUGAAGAAACCCCCAGGAAAAAAUAUUGAUCUCUCAAAGCGACCUCUUCAAACUCUGCUGACAGACAAAAGCCUGAGUAAACACAUGGGUUUGCAACCCCGAAUAUCAACAAACUUUGCUCUGCUGGAUCAGAGAGGGCUGUUCCGAGGCAGAAAAAAGCAUUCAGUCUUAUGGAGAGCGCUUAUAACUGUGCAGGGACUGUGGAAUUGACUUUUUCUCUGUUCCCUGGGAACAACUUUGCUUUAUUUUUAUAGCUUGAAGAAAACUCUUGGAUUGGUGUUUCGUAUUUGGCUGUGGAUGGAGCAGGGUGUGGAGGCAUUUUGCUACAGUGGCCCCACUGCUGCACCUUCCUGCCAUAGGAAAAUGCAGAUAUGCUGUGGGGUGCAGCAGGCUGCUGCUGCAGCACAACGAAACGGGGGCUCUGUGUGGCCCUACAACCCACGCGCUGACGCGUUCAGGCCAAGCACGGCGUUUGUUUGCAGCUAUACAAGUGGGAAAGGGUGAAAUUCCGCCUUGGGUUUCGGGGAGGUUUGAAGAUGUGCCACCGCCAUUCGCAGGUUGGUGUGGCGCUGGAUGUGUUUUGGGAUCACUCUCCCUGCACACCGCAAUGGCCGUGCAUCCCAGCAGGGCGCGGGGAUGGGUUGGGCACCCGAAGGCACUGCGUCUUUCUAGGAAUCCCAACUGCUGCUGCUGCUAACGUGGGAACCCCGUCCUCCUGCUUGCCGAAGGGAUGAUGGCGUGUAUUCUAUAAGAGACAAGAUUUACAAUGGCACAUUUGUCUGUGGGUUGUUUUCACUCUUCUGCACACAGCCCGCGGCUCAGCGGUCGGUGACCUUGCCCCUGCAGACGUCCGUGUGUGUCUGCACGCGUGCACACAGAGCUCACAGCAUUUUCCUUCAUGAGAACUCAGUGGCUGUAGUUUUUCUUGAUUUGAUAAGUGCAAUUAAUAACACUUCAACAUUUCUUUCCACAAACAGGAGCUACUGAGUAAAUUCGGCGACUUAUAAAAACAAAACCUCAAAAAAAAAAAAAAAAAGCCGAAAUUAAAAACAUUGGGUGUGCUUUGAUGUAGAGGAUGUGUCGAAAUGGUAUAUUUCUAUGUUUAUUUUUGCAUUUUACAAUUUCCCGGGCAAAGGCAAGCAAUGCUUUCUGACAGGAAACAAAACCUACUUUGGAAGGGUUCCACCUGUCGUGUCAGCCGAGCUCUGUGUCGGCCAGGUGCUUGAGCUGGACUUCACUGGGGGAGAUGAAAAACCUCCAGCGGGGCUUGGAUUGAGCCUUGAUGUGUGAAUGGAACCAUCCCACCUCUUGUGAGUGGCCACCCAUUGCCAGCGGCUGCAGCGGGGCAUUGCUCACCUGUCUGGGAUCUGCAAGAAGUAAAUGCCACGUGGCUGAAGUCUGGGGUGGGUGAACACUGUUGGCGGUUGUUUGCUCUCAGUGACACCUCUGCAGAGAGGUUACCAUGGGCUGGAGGCUGUGCAUGGCUCUAGUACUGAUUUCCCUCAUAGCCUUUCAUCGCUUUCAAAUGACAGCUGUUUUCCUCCCUCCUGUUUUCUGUUUAUAAAUAUACACGACUCAAAAAACCCAAGCAGAGUCAAGGAGCAAGCUGGUGCUUUGGGAACUGAAGGAAACAGGAGAGCCCU